UAAGUGUCAUUCUCACACUUAAAACUCAUUUACACCGGAAAUAAUAACACAAGUACCUCCCAAUUACCUCCCUUGUUUUCUAUUCUGCACCAUGGAGUAGCUAUCUUCAAACGUUGGAAUUUAAAGUUGAAAAUGAUAUUUUUGCCAAUUUCUCAACUGGCAAUAGUAAAUUAUAGGAUUAAUAGGAUUAUUCUUUAACAAGGUUGAAGAUUCAUCAAGAUGUGUACUUUGUGGUUUAUUACCGUUGCUGUUGUGCUUGCUUCCAUGUUGCCAAACUCUACUGCGUUGAGUGUAUGUAACGUGACCGAGUGUAGUGGUAGAGGGGGAGAGUGUACCCGAUACACAUGUAAGAUCGAUUGGAAGGAUACUAGUAAAUAUUGUGAUACUAUUAUAGAUGACAUGCGUAACGUCUGUCCCCUUAGCGGUGGACAAUGUGGGGAUGGAUUGUGUACUUAUACGUUUCCUUUUUAUAGUACAUGUGUAAACAACGUGUGCAGGAUUGAUUAUGAUGGACAAUGUGAGUAUGAUGAUCUUGAUGGCGGCCAUUGUAAUGUAUUAGGUUUUAAUGGUACUUGUUCACGUGGUUAUUGUUUCGCCCGAUGUAGUAAAGACAGUAAGUGUGGAGGUUUUCCAUGUAUAGGUGGAUACUGUGCAGCACCUAAAUGUGAAGAAUCAUUUUGCUCUAAGUAGUUGAUGUUAUGCUAUAUUUACUGUACACUGAACAACUAUAUUAUUAGAUUCAAUGCAAUAUUGUGAUAUUUAACCACUGAUAAAGGGUUUAAUGUAUUAUAACCACUUCUAUAUAAAAUAAAUGAAUGCUAUUUAGUUCUUUCUUUAUAAAUCAUAAUUCUAAGUCAACAAUAUAUUAUCUAAACCAAAAACUACAAUAUAUUCACCUGU